GGACUCUGAAUAACAUUCAGUUAUCAACAUCAAUAAUUCAACUAUACCGAAACGUCACUGAACCUUAAACGUGCAAACCCUGCGGGUUUGAGAACUAUGUAGACAUGACCGAGACACUCUCCGGUCAAUAUCCAAUAGCGAGACCUGGAUGUCCAUAUUGGAUCCUACAUAUUCUAGUAAUAUCUUAAUCGGUUAAACCUCUAUGUCAAGGAUUCAGUUAAUCCCGUACAACAUUCCCUUUGUCCUUCAGUAUGUUACUUGCCCGAGGUUCGAUCGCCAGUAUCUCUGUACCUAUUUGAAUCUCGUUACCGACAAGUUUCUUUACUCGUUCCAUAAUACAAAAUCCCAUGGCUAACUCCAUAGUAACAUUGCUUGCAAGGCUUGUUGUGAUGUUGUAUUACCGAGUGGGCCCCGAGAUACCUCUCCGUCAUACGGAGUGACAAAUCCCAGUCUUGAUCCAUGCUAACUAAACGGACACCUUCGGAGAUACGUGUAGAGAACCUUUAUAGUCACCCAGUUACAUUGCAAUGUUUUAUACACACACGGUAUUCUUCUAGUGUCAGUGCAUGAUCUCAUGGUCAUAGGAACAUAUACUUGACAUGUAGAAAAAACAGUAGCAAUAAAAUGACACGAUCACAUGCUAUGUUCAUAGUUUGGCUCUUGUCCAUCACAUCAUUAUCCUAAUGAUGUGAUCUCGUUAUCAAGUGAGAACAAUUUUCUAUGGCUAGGAAACCUUAACCAUCUUUGAUCAACGAGCUAGUCAACUAGAGGCUUACUAGGGACAGUGUGUUGUCUAUGUAUCCACACAUGUAUCUCAGUUUCCAUUCAAUAAAAUUCUAGCAUGGAUAAUAAACAAUUAUCUUGAACAAGGAAAUGUAAUAAUAACUAUUUUAUUAUUGCCUCUAGGGCAUAUUUCGAACAGUGGCCCCUCCCGGUGAACUCCCGCAACCCAUUCGCCAUUCCCCGUACUUUACCGGUAAUGCCCGAAAUUUUUCUGGAAUCCAAAUACCUCUUUCCUAUAUAUCAAUCUUCGUCUCCCCACCAUUCUGGAACUCCUCGUGACAUUCGGGAUAUCAUACGGGACUCCAAACAACCUUCGCUCACCAACAUACAUAACUCAACUAUACUGAAAUGUCACCGAACCUUAAGUGUGGAGACCCUGCGGGUUCGAGAACUAUGCAGACAUGACGUAAGACACUCUCCGAUCAAUAACCAAUAGUGGGACCUGGAUGCCCACAUUGGCUCCUACAUAUUCUAGGACUAUCUUUAUCGGUUGAACCUCUAUGUCAAGGAUUCAGUUAAUCCCGUAUGUUGUUCCCUUUGUCCAUCGGUAUGUUACUUGCCCAAGAUUCGAUCGUUGGUAUCUCCAUACCUAGUUCAAUCUCGUUACUGGCAAGUAUCUUUACUCGUUCCGUAAUACAAGAUCCCAUGACUAACUCCUUAGUCACAUUGCUUGCAAUCUCAGCAUGACGUUGUUUUACCGAGUGGGCCCUAGAGAUACAUCUCCGUCGUACGGAGUGACCAAUCCCAUUCUCGAUUCAUGCC
rnacentral:lncRNA from 1 species